CAGCCGCGCGGUAAUACGGAGGGUGCAAGCGUUAAUCGGAAUUACUGGGCGUAAAGCGCACGCAGGCGGUCUGACAAGUCAGAUGUGAAAUCCCCGGGCUUAACCUGGGAACUGCAUUUGAAACUGUCAGGCUGGAGUCUUGUAGAGGGGGGUGGAAUUCCAGGUGUAGCGGUGAAAUGCGUAGAGAUCUGGAGGAAUACCGGUGGCGAAGGCGGCCCCCUGGACAAAGACUGACGCUCAGGUGCGAAAGCGUGGGGAGCAAACAGGAUUAGAUACCCCUGUAGUCCCUGUCUCUUAUACA
rnacentral:rRNA from 1 species